CACUCCUACGGGAGGCAGCAGUGGGGAAUAUUGCACAAUGGGCGCAAGCCUGAUGCAGCCAUGCCGCGUGUAUGAAGAAGGCCUUCGGGUUGUAAAGUACUUUCAGCGGGGAGGAAGGCGAUAAGGUUAAUAACCUUGUUGAUUGACGUUACCCGCAGAAGAAGCACCGGCUAACUCCGUGCCAGCAGCCGCGGUAAUACGGAGGGUGCAAGCGUUAAUCGGAAUUACUGGGCGUAAAGCGCACGCAGGCGGUCUGUCAAGUCGGAUGUGAAAUCCCCGGGCUCAACCUGGGAACUGCAUUCGAAACUGGCAGGCUAGAGUCUUGUAGAGGGGGGUAGAAUUCCAGGUGUAGCGGUGAAAUGCGUAGAGAUCUGGAGGAAUACCGGUGGCGAAGGCGGCCCCCUGGACAAAGACUGACGCUCAGGUGCGAAAGCGUGGGGAGCAAACAGGAUUAGAAACCCUUGUAGUCCCA
rnacentral:rRNA from 1 species